AGCCCACUGUAUUCGUACUGAGAUUUCGUCAGAGAUCAAUCCGUUGGGGCUGGUGCAACUUCAUGAAUAAGUGAAGCG
rnacentral:pre_miRNA from 1 species